rnacentral:rRNA from 1 species
AACGAACGCUGGCGGCAGGCCUAACACAUGCAAGUCGAGCGAGGACUUCGGUCCUAGCGGCGGACGGGUGAGUAACGCGUGGGAACGUGCCCUUUGCUUCGGAAUAGCCCUGGGAAACUGGGAGUAAUACCGGAUGAGCUCAUUGGGGGAAAGACUUAUCGGCGAAGGAUCGGCCCGUGUUGGAUUCGGUAGUGGGUGGGGUAAUGGCCUACCAAGCCGACGAUCCAUAGCUGGCUUGAGAGGAUGAUCAGCCACACUGGGGCUGAGACACGGCCCAGACGCCGACGGGGGGGAGCAGUAGGGAGUAUUAGAGAAGGGGGGAAACCGUGAUGUAGCCGUGCCGCGGGAGACAUGAAGGCCUUAGGGUUGUAAAGCUCUUUCAGCUGGGAAGAUAAUGACGGUACCAGCAGAAGAAGCCCCGGCUAACUCCGUG